GGGCGGUUAGCUCAGUUGGUUAGAGCAUUGCGUUGACAUCGCAAAGGCCGUAGGUUCGAGUCCUAUACCGCCCACAA
rnacentral:tRNA from 1 species